GCGAUUCACAAAUCUUAGCUUUGCUGUAUACAAGUUGGUUGUGGCCACCUGAGUGCCUUAAUAAGUGCCAUUACUGAAGGCACUAUAAAAACGUCAAAUAGAUGAAGUUGUUAAAGUGCCUACAGUGUUCCGUUAAUGACAAAAUGGAUCCAUCUUCGACCGAUCUGACCUGAUAAUAGGCGACAUUCAUUACCAAAUCACGUUAUACAUCAACAUUGAAUGAAUCUUUAACCGUGUUCAUAUUGGACAUUUUGGGUGUAGUAUACAUGUGCAUUCGUUUUGUGUUCUCAAUGUUUCCAUGUUAUGUUAUUACAGUACUUAUUGGUACUUGAUAUUCUUUAACAAUGCUCCAUUAGUAGAAGUAGUUUCCAUAAGUCACUAAAAU